rnacentral:rRNA from 1 species
UACGUAGGGCGCAAGCGUUGUCCGGAAUUAUUGGGCGUAAAGAGCUCGUAGGCGGCCUGUUACGUCUGCUGUGAAAUCCCGGGGCUUAACCCCGGGCGUGCAGUGGAUACGGGCAGGCUGGAGGCAGGCAGGGGAGAACGGAAUUCCCGGUGUAGCGGUGAAAUGCGCAGAUAUCGGAAGGAACACCGGUGGCGAAAGCGGCGCUCUGGACCUCUACUGACGCUGAGGCGCGAAAGCCAGGGGAGCAAACGGG